GAUGAAGAACGUAGCGAAAUGCGAUAAGUAAUGUGAAUUGCAGAAUUCAGUGAAUCAUCGAAUCUUUGAACGCACAUUGCGCCCCCUGGUAUUCCGGGGGGCAUGCCUGUUCGAGCGUCAUUUCACUACUCAAGCCUCGCUUGGUAUUGGGCAACGCGGUCCGCCGCGUGCCUCAAAUCGACCGGCUGGGUCUUCUGUCCCCUAAGCGUUGUGGAAACUAUUCGCUAAAGGGUGUUCGGGAGGCUACGCCGUAAAACAACCCCAUUUCUAAGGUUGACCUCGGAUCAGGUAGGGAUACCCGCUGAACUUAAGCAUAUCAAUAAGCGGAGGA
rnacentral:misc_RNA from 1 species